UACGUAGGUGGCAAGCGUUGUCCGGAUUUACUGGGCGUAAAGAGCGCGCAGGCGGUCCGAUCAGUCGAAUGUGAAAGCCCCCGGCUCAACUGGGGAGGGUCACGCGAUACUGAUCGACUCGAAGGCAGGAGAGGGUAGUGGAAUUCCCGGUGUAGUGGUGAAAUGCGUAGAUAUCGGGAGGAACACCAGUGGCGAAGGCGACUACCUGGCCUGUUCUUGACGCUGAGGCGCGAAAGCUAGGGGAGCAAACGGG
rnacentral:rRNA from 1 species